UACUCUGCAUAUUAUUUUCCUUAGGUACUUCUCAACUUUAUUUCUCCGCAGAAAUAAUAUUCCUUCCACUCGCGAUCAAAUUUCAUGCCAUGUGUUUCUGUGAAAAUUUAUGUUCCUGUAUCUUUUGUUGCGCGUUACUUCCAGAACAAAUUGCAUGAUCAUGAAGAGAACGUUGAUAAUUUCCACAGCCAUUUUUACUCUCAUCCAUAAAAUCAGCGGUAUUCCCUCGCCAAAUAUCGAACCUCAACUUCGUGAAUACAACAUAGUUGAAUUUGAAAAAGACACCCGAGUUUGUAGAAUCGAUAUUGAGUAUCCAUGGCAGGCUAAUCAACUUCCAGGGUCAUCCAACUUCCCCACGUUCGUCAGCCGUUCGAAGUAUUGGGUGGAUAAGAGUCUACUUGCUGAGAGAAUAAUGGAUGCACCUGAUAAAGUCAUAUUAAUCACUGCUCCACGGAAAUGGGGUAAAACCAUGAACCUGGAUAUGCUGAGAUGUAUCUUUGAAGACACUUCGAUAGGCGUCUCACUAGAAAAAGAAUCUGAUCGACAACUUUUUAAUGAAAAAGAUUUCUCCCGCCAAUUUUUCAUUGAACAAGUUGUACUAUAUGACGGGUCUAGAAUGGGUACAUUAAUGGACAAACCUUUGAUUUCAACGAAACCCGAUUUUAUGAGUAAAUACUUCCAAAAAUACCCAGUCAUUGAUUUAGAUUUUAAAGAGUUUGAUUUAACGAAUUGGCGGGCCAGAUUCACAGAUAUAAUAUCUUGGGUGUACGAGAAGCAUAUGUAUUUGUUCACGCAUUUCCAGUCAGUUGCUGUAAAUGAAGAUGAAGCACUCGGCGUACGAAAACUCGCAGAAGAUAACAUGUACAAAUUUUUAAAUUUCAUGAACACGAAAUGUGACGAUGAUGGUUUAUCUUUAUUACAAGGUAGCAUCGUUUGGUUAUGCCACAAAUUGUACACGGUGUAUGGAAAAAAGUGUUUUGUUCUAAUCGACGAAUUCGACGCUCUACAAAACAACGUAAUUUUUCAUAAUGCUGGUGCUUACGAAGCAGGUACAGAAGCUAUCGAUUUCAUGAGAUCUUUUAUCUCGCUGACUUUAAAAUCCCCCAACAAUUCGUAUAUCGAUAAAGCUGUGUUGACUGGAAUAGUGCGAUCCGCGAAGGCAACGUUACUUAGUGGUUUGAAUAAUAUACUUGAGUACAGUGACGUGAAUUUAGCGAAUAUGCGGCAAUACACGCCAUUUUAUGGAUUCACUCCGCGCGAAGUAGAAACAAUGAUACGAUUGGAAAAGCCGGAAUCAUUUCAACAGUACUUUGAUACAGCUACCUCUUACUACGAUGGCUACGGAUCGUUGUGUUUAUGGAAUGGUUCAACGUUCAAUCCUUGGGACGUAAUGAGAUACAUCGAGGAGUUCAUAGCGGAAUCGUAUUGGGAUCAGACUGGCUCAAUAGACAUAGUGAAAAAACUACUGAAGUAUAAUUUUUUUGAAGAAAUGCUAUACCAAACGCUGGACCCCAAUGUUGGUUAUAAUAUCACCGCGUCAUGUCUGAAAAAAGUUGAUUCAUCUAUCUUGGCAGAGAUUCAUAGACUACUAGCUAAUGCAGAAAAUGCAGUUUGGUAUGAAAACAACAUGAAGGAAGAAAAGAAAUCAAUCGAAGAUGCAAUUGCCUCCUUUAUGUGCCAAGCAGGAUAUUUCACCAUACCAUCCAAUUUAAACAUCGAUUUACUGCAAAAAAUCAAUGCCGGUUCCAACGUGUCACUUAUCGUACCAAACUUUGAAUUGAAAAAGGUUUUGCAGAAAACUCGAAUUCAAUCGUUGUUGAGUAGACACAGCUGGGUUUACCAAAGCGCUGUAGAUGCUACUGUAAAUGCAUUUACAACUUGGUUCAAUCUCGAUGUAGACGAGCCAGAAAAAACAAUUCGGGAUGGGUUCGAGGACUUUGAAUCCGCGAUGAAUAAUUUAUUUAAAACGUGCGAAACGUUUGCAGACUCGACAUCGCCGAAAUUCUCGAAAAAGACGAGCGAAGAAUUUUCAAGCUACCGCAUCCUCAAUGAGGCAGCGGUAAGGAGAACCAUAGCCCCCGUUUGGGAAACAUUUCGCGAUAGAACGAAGAGUACUUUCUUGGAAGAGUAUCAAAUCAGAAACCGUGGUAGACUUGACACUCAAGUGCUGCUGCAUGAUAAAUUACUCAUCAUCGAGUAUAAAAGUGAUUUCUAUUGCCCAUUGGAGAAAGUGUUGGAACAAACCGUGAAUUAUUCAUCCCUCGUCCGCGCUCAGUUUCCUACACAAAAAUAUCAGUGGGUCAAAUUCCUCGCCAUCAAUGUUUACCUGUUGAAUAAUAGCAACGUUACAAAAGUGGAUAUGAAUUAUACAGUAAUGAAUUGGAAUCAGUUUAUAGAAUAUGCUGAGAACUGGAAUAGAGAAAACCUUAAAAUAACAAAGGAGAAUUGUGUGAUUUGCGACCGGAUGAUUGCAGUGGGCAAACAUUACGGUGUUGAAAAAAUAUGUAUCGCUUGCAGCGAGUUUUGCAGGAGAAAAUUCCUAUCUGGGACUGAAAAUAAUGAAAAAUGCGUUUCCGGUAACCAGAACUGUUCUUUAAAAUAUAGCUUUAGUAAAAGAACCUGCUCCGUCUGCAAGUUCGAGAAAUGUAAGCUUGUAGGUUACACGAUAGAAUCGUUUAGCUCUACAACAUCAGUUACACCUACGAGGUACCUACCCAAUAACAAUCCAUCGUAAUUUAUCAAUUCUGGGAACAGUGCCAUUCGCACCGUGUCAGGAGGUUCAAAAUUUUUCUGGAUAAGCGUAGUCUCUCACUUGAAGAACAGACCAACGCACAACCUGUAACAGCAGAAUAGCUCACGUUAGUCGAGACUCGUACGGGUAUACCUGCAUCAGCAUCUAUAACCAUUAGGCAGGAAGAUUGUUCCUCGAUUCGAGCGUGAUACCUGAUUGAACUCGUAUAUACCUACUUAUGGUAAUGAGGAAAAACGUUGGCUCGCAUCUAAAUCCAAAUUCGUCUACAUAUUAAUGAUCUCACGAUUAAGUAAACACCUAAAUGGUAAAUCGGUUCAUAAGUACAUAAAUGAUAAGCAAACCUAAGUUAAGGUAAAGUAAGGUAAUUCCGAUAGCAAAAUUCAAAAUUUUAGCAAUUUCUCAUUUUUUGGGUUUCCUGUACAUUUUGGGGCAAAAAUGAUAAAACAACUUUAUUCCUACGUCUACGUCCUUCAACUACACAUUGACUAUAUUGAAGAGUGAUUUGUGCGGAGGCUUCAUACAGGGCCAUUCCACGUCAAUUGAACCAAGAAGUGGUAGUGGGUUCGGCGAUUUUUUUGAAAUUUUCCCUGUGGAAAGACCUUCCGAUGGGAUGACCAAUGGCGCAAAUCGCAGCCCUCUAGCCCAUUUUUAAAGGCAGCCAGCGGGUGUCAAAGUUUUCAGUGAACCUAAUGUAUCAUUCAUUUCAGCAGUGGAUUACUCGAUAACCGCGAUACGUACCAAAAUGGAACUUUUUCCCAUAGUUAGAGGUUUUGAAAGGCUUUUUGGUGAUAUCAUAAAUAUCAGUGUUGCCACUUUUUUACGUGCAAAAAAUAAGCUCAAAAAGUUUCAAAACGUAGUUUUCACAUCGUUCCGACUCUCAAAAAUUCUGAAAAAAAUACAUUAUUGACAACUUUUCAUGUUGAACAACAUAUUAAGAAAUUGAGAUGGUAACAUGUUGCAAAGUUGAUUUUAAAAAAUUUAAAGUUUGAGAAAAAAUGCGAUUUGUUGAUUAUGGAAAUUUAAAAAAAAAUGAUGAUCUAUCGCUGACUUAUUGUAUUUUAAAAAUAUUCAAGCGGUAAUUCGGAAUGAAGUUUUUAGAAUUGCAAUCAUCAUCUUUUCGAGGAAUAUGCUCCAAAUAUCCUAUGAAAAUCAUUUCAUCAACAUUUUGAAAGGUUCUGAGUGGUGGGUCAUUAAAAACCAAAAACGCCAAUUUCAUUCACUAAUUUUAAACUAGGGAAGUCCGAGCACCUGUCAGAUGCCCAAAUUGAAAAUUUGAUGUUUGUUUCAUUCUGGUCUCGUAUUUUGGUUUUCGUUUUUUUUUUUUUUUUUGUAAGUCUUGUUGCUUUCUACGAAUAAUGUAAUACAGUAAGCGCCGCUUAAUAUGAUCGGGUUGGGACCAAGUGGUUGCUAUUCUAUUAACCGAAUUAUUCCAAUAAACGAUGAAUAAAAAAAAGAUGAUUUAUUGAACUAAAUGUUCAUAAUGGUACUUAAAAACGUAUAAAAAGGUGGGAAAAUGCCGGCAAAAAGCAAGAAUGACAAUUUUGGCAAAAAGCAGAUUUUUAUUGGCAAAAACAUUGUACUUUUAAUUGCAAGAAUUUUUUUAAAAAGCCAAAAUGUGGAAAUUUUGGGAAUUACUGGGGAAGUAAUGACACUUCUUCAUAAUUUUUUUUCGAAAAAUGUGAGAAGUUUUUUGCAUUUUUUAAGUGAAAGAAUGACAUUUUUUUUUGCAAUUUUUGGCUAUUUCAAGGGAAAACAAGAACUAAAACGAUGGAUUUUUUGAUAAUUUUUUGAAAAUGCAGAUCUUUGAACAAUUUUUAGAAAAAAAUGGGCCUUGGAACUUUUUUUCAAAAAGCAGAAAAUUUAGAAAAAAAUGGGCCUUGGAACUUUUUUUCAAAAAGCAGAAAAAUUUGACAAUUUUGCAGAAAACAAGUUUUUUUUUGCAAUAAUUGGCAGGAAACUACUUUUUUGCAAUUUUCGUUGAAAAUGGGAGAUUUUGUCCAAUUUUUCAGUUAAAAAACGAGACUUUUUGUUUGUUUGUUUGUUUUUUUGACAAAAAGUAUUCCUAUUUCAUUGAUUUUUGAAAAAUGAAAUU